rnacentral:snRNA from 1 species
GCACUUAUCUGGGAGGUGUGAUACCAUGACCACAGAUAGAGAUUUCUCAGGCCUAGGUGUAUCCCAUAUCACUUUGGGUAUGUUGACCCCUAUGAUUUCCCCCAAGGUGGGAAAUUUGACUACAUAAUAUGUUGUCUAGAAGACCUUAUU